rnacentral:tRNA from 1 species
AAUUUAUAGUUCUAUUAGGGAAUUUUCUACUUACACUAGAAAGGGUCCUGUGCAAUUCAGGAUUAAUUGAU